CCUAAUGUUGGAAAGAGCAGCAUCAUCAAUAGUCUGAAAGAAAUCCGAGUGUGUCAUAUUGGUGUGCAGAGAGGAGUGACCAGAUGCAAGCAGGAAGUGCAUAUUAUUAAGAGGGUGAAGAUGAUUGAUAGUCCAGGGAUCGUGGCGGCUCCCAGUAGCCCAGGGGAUGCGAUGACCCUCAGGAGCCUGCAGGUAGAGGAGAAGGAGGAGAGUCCACUGGAAGCGGUCAGGACUCUGCUCAAACAGUGCAAUCAGCAGCAUAUAAUGUUACAGUAUAAUGUCCCAGACUACAGAAACUCCUUAAGAGAUCUUGACUCCCUUUUCCAAAAAACGAGGCUUCUUGCAGAAAGGAGGCGUUCCUAACACAGAGCUGGCAACCAUGACAUUCCUCAAUGACUGGACAGGGCCAAAACUGAGUUACCACAGCAGAGCACCAGGGCCUCCCCUCAUACCUAA